GGAGUUAGCCGGUGCUUCUUCUGUGAGUGAUGUCCUUCCUGCCGGCUAUUAACCCGCAGGCCUUCUUCCUCACUGAAAGUGCUUUACAACCCGAAGGCCUUCUUCACACACGCGGCAUGGCUGGAUCAGGGUUGCCCCCAUUGUCCAAUAUUCCCCACUGCUGCCUCCCGUAGGAGUCUGGGCCGUGUCUCAGUCCCAGUGUGGCUGAUCAUCCUCUCAGACCAGCUACGGAUCGUCGACUUGGUGAGCCGUUACCUCACCAACCAGCUAAUCCGACAUAGGCUCAUCCGAUAGCGCGAGGCCCGAAGGUCCCCCGNUUUCCCCCGUAGGGCGUAUGCGGUAUUAGCCUGGGUUUCCCCAGGGUUAUCCCCCACUACCGGGCAGAUUCCUAUGCAUUACUCACCCGUCCGCCGCUCGCCACCAGGGAGCAAGCUCCCCGUGCUGCCGCUCGACUUGCAUGUGUUAGGCCUGCCGCCAGCGUUCAAUCUGAACCAGAUCAAAUUCUGA
rnacentral:rRNA from 1 species